GUGCCAGCAGCCGCGGUAAUACGUAGGUGGCAAGCGUUGUCCGGAUUUAUUGGGCGUAAAGCGAGCGCAGGCGGUUUCUUAAGUCUGAUGUGAAAGCCUUCGGCUCAACCGAAGAAGUGCAUCGGAAACUGGGAAACUUGAGUGCAGAAGAGGACAGUGGAACUCCAUGUGUAGCGGUGAAAUGCGUAGAUAUAUGGAAGAACACCAGUGGCGAAGGCGGCUGUCUGGUCUGUAACUGACGCUGAGGCUUGAAAGCAUGGGUAGCAAACAGGAUUAGAUACCCUGGUAGUCCAUGCCGUAAACGAUGAGUGCUAGGUGUUGGAGGGUUUCCGCCCUUCAGUGCCGCAGCUAACGCAUUAAGCACUCCGCCUGGGGAGUACGACCGCAAGGUUGAAACUCAAAGGAAUUGACGGGGGCCCGCACAAGCGGUGGAGCAUGUGGUUUAAUUCGAAGCAACGCGAAGAACCUUACCAGGUCUUGACAUCCUUUGACCACUCUAGAGAUAGAGCUUUCCCUUCGGGGACAAAGUGACAGGUGGUGCAUGGUUGUCGUCAGCUCGUGUCGUGAGAUGUUGGGUUAAGUCCCGCAACGAGCGCAACCCUUAUUACUAGUUGCCAGCAUUAAGUUGGGCACUCUAGUGAGACUGCCGGUGACAAACCGGAGGAAGGUGGGGACGACGUCAAAUCAUCAUGCCCCUUAUGACCUGGGCUACACAUGUGCUACAAUGGAUGGUACAACGAGUUGCGAGACCGCGAGGUUUAGCUAAUCUCUUAAAACCAUUUUUCAGUUCGGAUUGUAGGCUGCAACUCGCCUACAUGAAGCCGGAAUCGCUAGUAAUCGCGGAUCAGCAUGCCGCGGUGAAUACGUUCCCGGGCCUUGUACACACCGCCCGU
rnacentral:rRNA from 1 species